rnacentral:piRNA from 1 species
UAUUUGCUGAUAUCUUUCCUU